GGAAUCUUCCACAAUGGGCGCAAGCCUGAUGGAGCAACACCGCGUGAGUGAAGAAGGGUUUCGGCUCGUAAAGCUCUGUUGUUAAAGAAGAACACGUAUGAGAGUAACUGUUCAUACGUUGACGGUAUUUAACCAGAAAGUCACGGCUAACUACUUGCUAG
rnacentral:rRNA from 1 species